UCCUUCCAUUUCCUCCCUCCCUUUUCUUUCUCUCUUUCUUUCUGACUUCUCAGCUGCUUCGCUGAGACACUGUGCUCUGUGCCUCUCUGGGAAAUAGGCAGGAUUUCCAUUUCCAUUUCCAUUCUCAUUUCAUUGUUACCUGGGAGGCUAGACCCAGCUACGCCGCAGCAACAAAACUCUCCACCGUGCGCCCGGCUCUGGACAAUGCAGGUGUGUUUCUCACUCACACUCUCGGUCCCUACAGUUUGUCCGGAAGGUUUGCUCCCUGCAGCCACCCACAACCCGUCUCGACAGGAGCUUCCCGGCAGGGGCAAAGGGUGCCUGAGGGUCCCCCCCCAGACACUCCGCUGGGGAGUGAAGCAUGGCGGCCCAGAGCUCACUGCCCGGAGCUAUCACAUGGCCUCACCCCGGACGAGCGGGCUGGGGAACGACCUGCCACCACGCACCCCGGAAGCACAGAGCGAGGAUCUGCGGGGGACACCAUGUCCGGGGGUUCGCUGGUCUGCAGAGCAAGCGCUGCUGUCCCGGAGGCCCUGUGGCUCUGCAGAGCCCAGUCUGGGGGGGCGGCUCCCAGCUCCGCAGGGCCCUGAGCUGGCCAGGCAGCCGCAGACCUCACCUGGGCUUCCGAGGUCCUUCUUCCCCCUUCCUCCGGCUGCCUGCGUCCCUCCUCCCUUCCCCCUCCCUUCUCCCCUGAGCUCCUCUGCCCUUGUCACUUCCCAUUACACCUGGGCUAAGCCCACUCAUGAGCCCCUCCUGGGAAGGACAUCUCUCCACAGGCAUCUCAGUGAUGGUGAUGCCUGACAACAAAGGAGGCUGCAGUCACCAGGCGCACACUGAGCAAACCUGUCACCUGCCGGAGGUGUCAAUGCAGCCCCAAGUGAGAGCAGAGUCACAGCGAGCCUCAGCUUAGAAGCUGGUGCCCAUGGCCAACACCCCCCUCUGCCGGUCUCAGCUCAGCACAGCGGAGAAGGCGCCCAGGAGACCAGGCUGCCGAGGGGCAGUGGAGCCCAAUGGUUAGGGUCAGGGACACCGUGUCAGACAAACUAGCAGGUGGCCUUGAGCAGGACAUGGAGCCCCAGUUUCCCCAUCUGCACAUGGGGGUUUCGACACGAGCACACCAGAUGAUGCUGGGUAAUCAGAUAGACCGGCUCACACUCCAUGCUGCUGUGGAGGGGCUGCUGGUGUCUUCGCUAAGACCCGGAGUAAGGAGGGCGGGCACGUGCAUGGGGUCCCGAAGGCCCCAGCUCUGCCCCUCGCCCGCCAUGGGCCACUGGCACCCUAGCCCUCUCGGCCUUGGCUCGGCCCUGUGUGAAAUGGGAAUGUUCCCAAUGUCUUCAGGAGGGUCUAAGACGCCCUGCAAACUCCCGCCAGCUCUGCAACCUCCUCCUACACCGUCUCCCCACUAUUCUCUCCAUCCCAGCCGGGGUGGACUUUUUCUUCCAAUAGUUCAGAUUUUACAUCAGUCAGCUACAGCCACGCAAGUGCUGCGUAACAAGCACCCCCAAAGCUCGGUGGCUUACGACAGCCAGCAGGCACCUUCAGGCUUGAGGUCUGCAGGUUGGCUGGGGCUCGGAUGGUCUCGGCUGGGCUCAGCUGACCGCUUCUGCUUUGGGCAGGGUUUGUCUGGGUUUAGCUCUGGGCUGCAGGUUGGGCUCAUUUCUGCUUCACUUGGGGUUUUUUAUUGUUGUUUUGUUUUGUUUUUUCCUGGCGUUCAGGGAGAUUCUUCUCAUGCAGAUCACCAGAAUGCAAGAAACCAUGCUGAACCAGCUCUCUGAGCAUGUCUGGCCAAGCCCAACACCAGUGGGGCAGGGAAGUAUAUACCACCCACACGGAAGGGGUGGUAAACAUUGGCAGAACAGCAGUCCAAACUAUCACAGACAUGCUAAGCUUCCCUCCACCCCCAGCCUCUGGGCGUUUGCACACGCUGUUCACUUGGCCUGGAAUAUUCCAUCUGCACCAUUCAGAUCCCAGCUUGGACAGCACCUUCCGCAGAGCAGCUGCCUCUGACCCUGCAGUCUGGAUGCACCUAGUCUUCAUACUCCCGCAGCAUCUGUGGGCCCUCGUCCCCCACCUCCCUUACAGUGGCUCUGAAUAGCACCUGCCGGCACAAGCAUUCAUUCCCCUUCUCUGUUUCCUCCUGUAUCUCAUGGUAUGGGAGGCAAAAAUCCCAACUCCCAGUUCUCUCUGCAGCUAGGAUUCAGGAUAAAAUGAAGUUCCCACACACAGGGUGGGCUUGCAUGACAUUGAGGGGGCAGACACGAGGUGGGCUUCCGGCCCUCAGGCUGGUGGGGGUAGCUGGGGUUUGCCUGCAGCAAAUGUCUGGGUCCAUUUGCCAGUAUCCUGGGUGUCCGGGCAGAGUGGGGGUGGAGAAGGCUCCUGGAGCUGCUCCCUAAUCACCGAUCGCAGUGCUAGGCUCCCUCCACCACCGCCGCCUGCGUGGGGCUGUGGCAGCAGAGGUGGGGGCUCCGAGUCUGGUGGGGCACAGGGGUGGCCUCGGUGGUGCCAGCACCUCAGGGUCCAGCCUGCACUGCUCCAAGAAGCUCCGUUCCCAGAAGCUCAGCCUUAAACGUGCUUUUUCAGACCUUCCGGUGGUUUUAUAAACACAUAAUCCCCUUUAUUAAAUCCCUUCCUCCUGAAAACACAGCGCUGCGCCCUGACAGAUACCCUGUCUCAACUGCUUGCUCAGACGUCACAUUCCCAACGAGACUGCACACGUCCGCCCACAGGGACCGGGUGAGCCGCGCUCACCGCGGCAGCACCUGUCACCGCGCCCCGCACAGUCGGGGCACAACAAACACCACUUGGGGUGAUGGAAAGCACAAGUCCACGCACUGCCUCCUGCAGACACUCGCCGUGACAGCCAAGCGACAGACAGAUGUCUGAAUGGUAACCACGGGGGAGCCCCAGGCUGCCAAGAGUCCCCCUCAUCCCAACGCCCAGAAGAAAGAGACCAAGAACUUUUCCCUCCAAAGCUCUCGCCCGUUAAGGUGUCACGAGGUUGUGCCCCUUCCAGCAGACGAGAAAACAGGCCUCAGCACUGGGAAGCAAGAGGAUGUAGUUGUCAAAGAAUGGGGCGUGCCAUCAGGCGGGACUUAGGUUUGAGUCCUUGUACUGCCACUUACAAGCUGGGCAGCUUUGAGCAACCUAAAGCCUGACAUGGAGCAGUCACUUGCAUCGAGCUUCCCAUUUCAACUCGCCAGAGGCCUUGGGGUGCUCUGGGGACUGCCUAGGCCACGGCACCCCAUUGCCCACGAGUGUGAGCCUUUCAUGGGACCAGCAGCCAACCAUCCUUUGGCGGGAAGAUUUUUGUGGGUCCUGUGGACUUCGUGCUGUCUCAAGACACGCCUGUGCUGUAGCAGAUAAAGAGGGCUGUUCAGGCUCCAGGUGGCAGGGUCACUGUUGUAGCAUGUGUGAUCCUGCGACAGGGAUAAGACAUGCUCACAACUUGUGCAGGAGCUGCAGCCGCCGGCCUCUGGGAGUUCUCAGGUUUGACGACACACACGGCAGCGAGGACAGGGCGUGUUAAUCCAUCACAGCCCGGGAGGCCGAGGGGAAAGGCAGAAGCUCAAAGAUUUGGAACGCAGGCCUCGCAGGAGAACAGGCGGUUCGGGAUGAAGCAUGGGGCCCCCUGGCAGCUCCGGCUGCUGGAGAGAAGGUCCUCAGCCGUCUUCAUCUGCCCACCGGGAGCCCCAUGCCCUCCCGCCCAGGGCGUCCUCGGCCGGCACGUCCUUGCAGGAACCUGGGCGGGAAUGAGAAAGUUCUUUAGCUACUUGUGAGGGCCUCUCGGCAGCCCCGCUGGAGUUGCGGGCUCUCCCUGGCUCUGCCCCAGGCCUCGGCAGCAGUGGAGGGUGCUCAGGGAUGGAAAGACGGGGCCACGGUGGAGCAGGGUCUUUGGAGUCGGGAGACCCAGGUUCAAGUCUCAGUUCUGCUGCUUGGAGCGCUGCUUGGAGUGUUGAGCAGAUUGCUCUGGGUACAAAAGGACGGGAAGUUUGAAAAGGCCGGGAACAGGGGCUGGAAGCUAUUUCCAGGGCCAGCACACCCAGUCUGGCCUGUCCCCAGUCCCCGGGCCCUGCCUGCACAACGGCCCUGUCCCCACUCCUUGUCCGGCCCCCAAGCCCUUCUCCCGACAUUCGCUGUUUCCAUGACACCCUCGGUUUGGGGAGCUAAUUUUAAUGAAGAGGAUUGAUUAAUACCAAAUUAUUACCUUUCUUUUGUGUCCCUUUGUCAUUUAGAAAUGGAAACAAAAGACAUCCUUGAGCUCAAGUCAAACAUUUACCAAAUUAAUUCUCCUAAGAAAUUGUUUGAGAUUUCAAGGGUUGGUGGUUUUUUCCCUCUUCCUCCUCCCCCUUGACUAUACGGCAUCAUAAAGUAAUUGCCUGAUUAAGGGCUGCGCAGCUUGGAGAGUGACACAUUUUUUAAAAUUAGAACGCGCCUGCCGAUGGACGCCGUUAUGCAACUGGUUUUCUUCCUUCCAAACAACUUGGUUCUCAAGGAGAAGUGACGGAACGGCAAGGACACGGGGAAGGACGGGAGCAGGCGAGCUCACGGGGCACAGCGAGUCUUGGGGGACCAGUUCUGCGCCAUUUCCCCGGGACCCCUCUCCUGACACCCUUGUGGGUCCACAGCUGCCUCCCGCCCCCCCCCACGCAAACCCGUUGUCAGGACGACCGACCACCCGGAUGCUUGCGACACUGUCAG